UACGUAGGGGGCAAGCGUUGUCCGGAUUUAUUGGGCGUAAAGAGCGUGUAGGCGGCCAGACAGGUCCGUUGUGAAAACUCGAGGCUCAACCUCGAGAUGUCGAUGGAAACCGUCUGGCUAGAGUCCGGAAGAGGAGUGUGGAAUUCCUGGUGUAGCGGUGAAAUGCGCAGAUAUCAGGAGGAACACCAGCGGCGAAGGCGGCGCUCUGGGCUGGAACUGACGCUGAGGAGCGAAAGCGUGGGGAGCGAACAGG
rnacentral:rRNA from 1 species